ensembl:lncRNA
GAACAGAACGCCCUUUUAUUCGGCGUUUUGAAUAAUUAAACGGCGUUUUUUACGCCAUUUCUUAACCAAACGGGUUAGAAAAGUGGCGAUUUUUGGCACUAAUGGCUUGCCAUACUAAUGGCUUGCCAUAUCGCGAAAACGCCAAAACGCGUGAAACGCGUGUCAGUGUAGCGCGUUUGAUUCGCGAAAAAAAACCACGCGCGUGAGUUUUUGUGUUGCAUUUUGUGCAUACACGCGUUUCGCGUCUACCGCUCAGUUGGAAAAAUCUGAACUCCAGUGUCAAAUCGCACCCCGACAACCAAUCAGGAGCCUGGUGACGUGCUCUGACCUAGGUCAAAGGGGCAGAUCCAGCCAAAGCCCUUCAUUCUUCAAUGGAGGGAAGGCUAAUCAACGCAGUAGCAAACCACCCGGAGCUGUACGACACCAGCUGCUUUCUGUACCGAGACAGGAAUAUAAAGGACCGAGCUUGGAGGAAGAUAUGUGAAGAGACGGGCAACCUGGUAAGUUCAUUCAUUUCUCUUUUGAAAGUUUUCACUGACCCGGGGAAGCCGCACAAAAGUUAGCAAGCCACCGCUAUUUUCCCACUGACGUACAAAUACCGUUCUGCUUUUAUGCAUGUUGUCAUUUAGGAAUAUAUUUUGUUUAUUAAUAAACAGCACACAGUGGUCCCGCUGUUCAUCCGUCACUGCUUCGCUUUUUCGCUGAUUUUCUUUUUCAUUUUCUUUUUGUUGCACAGUACAGCAUUGCAAUCUGCAGCCUGAUUGACAAAUCUCCUCCGUGUCGUGUCUCCUGCGCUUGCCAAAUUUAUCACGUUUGGUUUUGAUAACCAUCACGUCCGAUAGAAAAAACAGCACAAAAACACCCAUAACUAUGAGCCUCAUUCGGAAAUAGACACCUGCACCGCGAGGGAAAAAGGCGCACGAAAGUGGCGGGCAGAUGAAGACAAACCGCGGCAUAAUAAUACUUUUACGUUUUGCAAUCUACAAAGGUUUGCACUUUGAGAAUCAAUUGUGAGAACUGUGACCAAUGUUCAUGUGUGUGUGUGGAAAAAAGUGUAUAAAGUGCGUGGCCAGGGGCUAGUUAUUCUGAGAACCCCUGCUGCAAUAAAUGAGGGACCACUGUCUACUCUAUGAUUAUUAUAUUCAACCUGUUAACAUUUAAUACUGUAUUGAUAGAACCAACUGAUUCUGCAGCAGAGCAUCCCCAGUCCCUGAGCUGCUGCUGCUGCACCACAGGCCCACAAAGGAGGACGGCUCCAAGGCAGAUGAGGGACGUUGUUCCAGAUCUACUGGCGUUUAGAUCAACUGGCGUUGGUCGAACAGAUGUGUGGCAAACGGCAGUUGAUCUAAACGCCAGUAGAUCUAAACGCCAGUAGAUCUAAACGCCAGUAGAUCUGGAACAACGGUCCCAGGACGGUCCAUCGGCGGUGGAGCUGGCCAUCCUGGAGUCCCUGAAGAGGCCACACCAGUCUCCAAUGGAGCAUUUCCUCCUCAGCCUUGUUCCUGCUCUUGAGAGCAGCUGGUCCUUUUUAUUCCUGUCUCUCUGUAAAUUCUUAUAUUUUAUGUUUAAUGUUUUUCUGUGUGAGAAUUUUAAUAUUAUUUCAAAUAAAUUUUUAUAAUGACU